UGCGAAGGCGGUCGUCUAAGUCGGAGGUGAAAUGUCUACGGCUCAACCGAGGCAUUGCCUCCGAUACUGGACGACUUGAGUGCGGAAGGGGAGCGUGGAAUUCCUGGUGUAGCGGUGAAAUGCGUAGAUAUCAGGAGGAACACCGGUGGCGAAGGCGACGCUCUGGUCCGCAACUGACGCUCAUGCACGAAAGCCAGGGGAGCGAACG
rnacentral:rRNA from 1 species